rnacentral:rRNA from 1 species
UACGUAGGGUGCGAGCGUUGUCCGGAAUUAUUGGGCGUAAAGAGCUCGUAGGCGGUGUGUCACGUCGGCCGUGAAAACCUGCAGCUUAACUGUGGGCGUGCGGUCGAUACGGGCAUCACUGGAGUUCGGCAGGGGGGACUGGAAUUCCUGGUGUAGCGGUGAAAUGCGCAGAUAUCAGGAGGAACACCGGUGGCGAAGGCGGGUCUCUGGGCCGAUACUGACGCUGAGACGCGAAAGCGUGGGGAGCGAACAGG